rnacentral:misc_RNA from 1 species
GGGAUGCAAUGCAGCAGUUUGAUGAUUGCAUUCCUCGACGAGAAUUUGAUAACUUUCAGUUCGUAAAUUUCACGAAGAUUAUGUCAGCUGACAUGGAAAUGACAAAGAAGGAAGCAGCAUUUGCACUUGCUGCACUUAUGGAGAUUCCCUUUCAGUACAGAGCCACACAGGGACUUAGACCUAUGGAAAAAGAGAGGGGAAAGACAAGUCAAUGUAAGGUUCUC